rnacentral:tRNA from 1 species
GGGGGGAUGGGUCUGCUAGGGGUGGACACCUCGCUUGCACCGAGGACAUCAGAACGAUUCGAAUUCGUUAUCCUCCACCA